CAGUAAAUAUCUUUCUGCUUUUUCUCUAAAGGUUAUUAUUGACAGUCUCUUUGCCAAACAGAUGCUGCUGAAGACUGGACUUUAACCCGGUCUGGAUAGGAAGUUCAACACUUCCUGUCUGGAAAACUGCAGGUGUGCUCACACACUCAGAUCACUGGGCGGGACAAGGGACUUUUGUUUCUUCAGCGAGGCCUGGAAGGCAGCACUUCCUACAAGGCAGCACAACACUACUCUGGCCCAUUCAGCUCUGAGCCAACCAUGCCCAACAGCUAAUUAGCAUAACAUCUAAGUUUUUGAAAACACUCUCAACUACAGUGGAGGAUCUUUGGACCCAAGGUGGGUAAAGUGACAAGUAAGUCUCAAGUCUUGACACUCCCGAGUCAAGUCCCAAGCCAAGACAGUCGAGCCUCGAUUCAAGUCUCGAGUUAAAGUCAUUACAGAUGGCAACCACUGAUUCCUGUCACCACCACUGCAAAGAAAUCAGC